rnacentral:rRNA from 1 species
CCUACGGGCGGCAGCAGUGGGGAAUUUUGCGCAAUGCUCGUAAGAGUGACGCAGCGACGCCGCGUGAAUGACGAAGGCCUUCGGGUCGGAAAGUUCUUUCGACAGGGAAGAAAAUGCCUAUAAGUAACUGUGUAUGUGUUGACGGUAUCUGUAUAAGCAGCCCCGGCUAACUCCGUGCCAGCAGCCGCGGUAAUACGGAGGGGGCGAGCGUUGUUCGGAGUGAGUGGGCGUAAAGAGCACGUAGGCGGUGUUGUAAGUCAUUAGUCAAAGACUAGAGCUCAACUUUAGUAAGGCUAGUGAUACUAUAAUACUAGAGUAUCAGAGAGGAUUGCAGAAUUCCUGGUGUAGCGGUGAAAUGCGUAGAUAUCAGGAGGAAUACCGUUAGCGAAGGCGGCAAUCUGGCUGGAAACUGACGCUGAGGUGCGAAAGCGUGGGUAGCAAACAGGAUUAGAUACCCGAGUAGUC